rnacentral:rRNA from 1 species
UACGUAGGUGGCAAGCGUUGUCCGGAAUUAUUGGGCGUAAAGCGCGCGCAGGCGGUCCUUUAAGUCUGAUGUGAAAGCCCACGGCUCAACCGUGGAGGGUCAUUGGAAACUGGGGGACUUGAGUACAGAAGAGGAAAGCGGAAUUCCACGUGUAGCGGUGAAAUGCGUAGAGAUGUGGAGGAACACCAGUGGCGAAGGCGGCUUCUGGUCUGUAACUGACGCUGAGGCGCGAAAGU